CCGGCUCAGAAGCUGCUGAAACUUAUUCUGUGAUCAGCUCAGUACCCUUACCGUCCCUGCCUUUAGACACCAGUGGAGACAUAAAAGUGUAUUCUAAGAUAACAGUGGUCGACACGUAUCAUGUGUACAGCUCCAUCCCUGACACACACGUGACCACCAAUGACGCAGUGUACAGCCUGCUGCAGAUGCACUGAUUAUUCUUAUGCCUGUUAUGCCUUAACAUGUGCUUUAAUUGAAUAGCUUGCUUUUGGAUUUGAAAUGAAUUGGACUUCUGCUGGCUUGUAACUGCAAUGUCACUGAAUGGAGCCUAGUUUGGGGUGAAAAUUGCGGCCUUAUCUCUUAAAGUGAUGUAAAGGGGUGUAAUGACUUAAAGGUGAUGUUUAUUCAUGCAUGCUGUCACUUCUUCUAUCUCUAGAUUUAUAUAAAAUAUAAAACGUUUCAUUAAAAUGCGCAUUAAGCCGAUCACGUGACCAGUCCGCGUUUC
ensembl:lncRNA